UAGGGAAUCUUCGGCAAUGGGGGAAACCCGUGACCGAGCAACGCCGCGUGAGUGAAGAAGGUUUUCGGAUCGUAAAGCUCUGUUGUAAGAGAAGAACGUGUGUGAGAGUGGAAAGUUCACACAGUGACGGUAACUUACCAGAAAGGGACGGCUAACUACGUGCCAC
rnacentral:rRNA from 1 species